GGGUACUGUAAUUCGAUUAUCAACAUCUAAAAGUCGAAAGUUUCAAGGUUUUAUUUCAUCAAUUGGAAUUAUGUAAGAAUCAAAUUCAAUAUUUUUAAAAUCAGAAUAUUCGUAAGAUCAAUAUCAUUGAUGUCCAAUGGAUUUAAUAGUAAUUAUUGGGCUAUUGAUUUCGUCUAAGAUAUAAAUUAGUCGGAGAGAUGGCACGGCAAUAAAAAUUAGAGUAAUUGCAGGUAGGACCGUUCAAAUAAUUUCAAUUGUCUGUCCUUCAAGUAAGUAACGGUGG
rnacentral:misc_RNA from 1 species